rnacentral:rRNA from 1 species
GGGUCAGCAGGUUGGUCGUGCCAAUGGUAUGCACUGGCCUUGCUGAUUCCUCCCUCUUGAUGAGCCGUAAUGCCAUUAAUUUGGUGUUGCGGGGAAUCAGGACUGUUACUUUGAAAAAAUUAGAGUGUUUAAAGCAGGCUCACGCUUGAAUACAUUAGCAUGGAAUAACGGAAUAGGACG